AGCGAACGCUGGCGGCAGGCUUAACACAUGCAAGUCGAGCGGGCACUUUCGGGUGUCAGCGGCGGACGGGUGAGUAACGCGUGGGAACGUGCCCUCUGGUUUGGAAUAACUCAGGGAAACUUGAGCUAAUACCGGAUACGCCCUUUUGGGGAAAGGCUUGCUGCCGGAGGAUCGGCCCGCGUCUGAUUAGCUAGUUGGUGAGGUAACGGCUCACCAAGGCGACGAUCAGUAGCUGGUCUGAGAGGAUGAUCAGCCACACUGGGACUGAGACACGGCCCAGACUCCUACGGGAGGCAGCAGUGGGGAAUAUUGGACAAUGGGCGCAAGCCUGAUCCAGCCAUGCCGCGUGAGUGAUGAAGGCCUUAGGGUUGUAAAGCUCUUUUAUCCGGGACGAUAAUGACGGUACCGGAGGAAUAAGCCCCGGCUAACUUCGUG
rnacentral:rRNA from 1 species